GACGAACGCUGGCGGCGUGCUUAACACAUGCAAGUCGAACGGUGAAAGAGGGAGCUUUCUCCCUCCGGAGCAGUGGCGAACGGGUGAGUAACACGUGAGCAAUCUGCCCCGAACUCGGGGAUAAGCAUUCGAAACGACGUCUAAUACCGGAUACGACGCCGUAGGGCAUUCUCCCCGCGUUGAAAGAACUUCGGUUCGGGGUGAGCGCGCGGCCUAUCAGCUUGUUGUUGCGGGAACGGCACACCAAGGCGACGCCGGGUAGCCGGCCUGGGAGGGUGACCAGCCACACUGGGCCUGAGACACGGCGCAGACUCGUACAGGAGGCAGCAGUGGGGAAUAUUACACAAUGGGAGCGCGCCUGUUGCGACAACGCCGCGUGGGGGAAGACGGCCUGCGGGUUGUGAACCUCUUUUGGCAGAGAAGAAGCGAUAGUGACGGUACCUGCAGAAAAAGCACCGGCUAACUACGUG
rnacentral:rRNA from 1 species